UACGAUAUUUUAAGAUAUUUUUGUAGGAUAUCCCGGGAGCUACUCAUUGAGAUAUCCGUGGGAUCGCCUUCGUUUGUCUGGGAUAAUUUAGGAUAUCCUCAGGAUAAAGUGUGCUGCACACAGGUUAUUUCUAUACUUACUGAAGUUUGAAUUGUAAGCCUAAUAUGUAAUCAAUUGGAGCUUAUGGUAUCGUGGCUAUCGAAUUAAAGUAAUUCUAAAUAAAGUGAAGCUGUCGGCACAUUUCUUUCGAUCAUUUUCAUAUGCUAGUGGAAGGAGUAGAUAAUCUAAAAGUAUUAACACAAAGGAAACAAUGGAGAAAUUAUUUUACCAUUGCAAGGAGUGUUGCAGAUGAUGUAACAUUCUAACAGCUACUUGGACAUAUCACAAAUGAGGCAAUUAUCUGAUCAAGUAAGGACGCAAAAUGUAUUUUUAAUUCGUAUCCUACAAACAUUUUAUCCCAGAUUAAUUUCCAUAAAAAUUUUGAAAGUAAUUUAUUUACACUACUUUUUUCCAAAAUAAAGAUAGUGAUUGUGGCACAGUGAGUUGUGUAUCCGCUCUCUGAUUACGCGGUUUUGAUACCAAGUCUCCUGCCCAGAGAGCAGACACACAACUCACUACGCCACAGUCGUUUGUAUGGAUAAAGUGCUUUUUUUACAUUAUAUUGUAAGAGCUAAUAAUUAAUAGAAUUGAUCCUUUUAUUAAGUAUUUUAUUUUUGUUUGGACAAAAGGUCGUCAGAUUCUGGAUGAGUUAGCCUAGCAGAUUACAGCGGAUUUUAAACAGGCCUUUUCAAAAUCCAAAGCAUUUCAAUCAGUUAACGGAAGGAUGUUUCAUAUUAUCAGAAUUGCAUCCUAAAGUGAAGUAUGUACCUCAUAGAAAUAUUUGAAGAUUUAGUAUAAGCAAUAACAAAUGUACGAUAAUGUUUGAAGCAUCUUUUUUUUUAUAGAAAAGGUCUGCUCGUUUGGUUUGUAAAUAACCAAUUGCAAGAAUACGCACAUUUGUUUGACGAGAAUCAGAAUUUUGCCUGGUUGGAUAAGAUAGAUCGAAGGGCGUGGAUUAAGAAACAUCUGCUCGAUUUUGAGACAAAGUUUGGUGCAAUCUUUCCUUAAGAUUGGGAGAUUUCUACGCGAAUAGCUGUACAAUUCUGCCAUAUCACGUGUGAAGAUCUUAUUAACAAUAAGUUAACGAACAAGAGACGUAAUGAGAUAGACAUUAAAUUAUUGCUGUACUUUUAUUUAAACUGCGUUUUGUAUUUAUAUAAAAAUUUAUUACAUAUAUUAUAUUAUUUUAUUAUAAAUAUUAUGUGAUUGAUAUUAUGUAAAUGAUAAAUAUUAUGUAAAAAUAAAUAUUAUUAAUUAUUAUAUUUAAUGUGCCAGCCCAGCUAGCACAGAGAGUUCGAAAAGAACUCAAUUGUAUGUCACCAAUUAUGAAUUUUUUAUGAAAUGCAAAAAGAAUUAUUUUUAUAAAAAUAAUUCUUUUUGCAUCUCAAAAAGAAUUCAUAAUUGAUGACAUACAAUUGAGUUCUUUUUGAACUCUCUGUGCUAUCUGGGAUGUUUAUUAAAAUCUAACCCUAACCUUGAAACCGACUCCCAGGGGCGACCAGGCAACCUUUUCACCCACGGCAGGUCAAGAGGGACCGAAGGAGCUGAAGAAAUUCAAGACAACGAGGACCGAGGCCAGUGAAGCGAACGGAAAUAACUUCCUAACCAUAAGGUUGGAAAGGUCAAGGGAGGCGGCGCAGGCCGAUGCGAAUCAAAAAAUUAAACAGAGCAAGCCACCGCGUGAUCGCGCAUUGCGUCAAUAAGCGAAACAAAUGUUUUUUUUUGUUAUUCUAAUAUUUCGCUAUUUUUAUCUUAUUAAUGUAUGUACUCAAUAUAAUGUGCUCGACGAGUUAGUUUUUUUAGUUAUUUAUAGGUUAUAACUAACCACCCCAUGACAAAAACAUAUAGUUACCUCAUUAAAUAAUAUUAAGUUUUGUAAUCCUAGUUUUUUUAAAAAAGCUCCUUGCACAGCGUGCGUAAGUCAAAAUUGGCUUAAGUAAAAAAUAUAUCAAACACGCGAGCGAGAGUAUAACCAGCCAUGACCUGGUUAAACUUUAUCAAACUUAUGUUAUGCGUAGCAUGUUUUCUCUUAUCCUUUUAUUAUUUAAUUUUAAUAUUAGUCAGUCUAGCAAAAUAUGAAGGAGUUAGAAACGCAACUAGUGUGUUACUUUUUAAGUUUGUAUAACUUCAUUAUUUUAAGAUUAAACAUUACUUUUAUAAUCUCGUAUGCUUUUUGUUUAUAUUUCAUUGUUUUGUGGCUAUAAUAAUAAUUCUAGCAAGCAAAUUAGUUGCAUUAGUGGAUUGCACUUUAGGUGCAAUCUGCAAUAAAAUCUGCACUUUUAAGUGCAAUCACUUACCCCUAUAACCAUUUCUGCUGUGACAAAUAUUGGCAACAGAUUCUGUUGCCAAAAAGGCGACAAAUGAGAAACAUAUCUUGUCAUUGCAAACACUAUUAGCAGAUAUUCAGCAAAUAUUUAGCAACGUCUGUUAUCAGAAUACAUGACAAAAUAAUAAUGAACUGCGAGCAGAUUUAUUGAAAAUAUUGAUAACAGAUUGACGACAAACACCAAAGUGCAAACAAUGUUAGCAAAUUGCUUGUAGUAAUGCAACAACAUUUGUGUGUCAAAGUACGCAACAGAUUGAUACCAGAAAUGCAGCAGAUCUGUCGAAAUGUCAAAUUGACAAUAAAAA
rnacentral:lncRNA from 1 species